AUGAUGGACUCCUCCGACCCUCUAACGCUGCGGCCCUUCAAUAACAGCAAUUUCUCAAAGACGAAAGAAAGGACGCCGUUCUACCAGGUGAUGACCUGUAAAGACUCCAGCCUGCAGAGGAUCAUCCAGGUGGUGCAGAGGGUGGCGCAGAAGAGCUGCAGAAGAGCCUGUCAGCUGUUCUGCUGUCCCCUGGACACUCUGCUCUGUGAGAAGCUCACAGCCUGCCCAGCUCCAAAUCAUCAACCUGAGGAGGAUAAAAAUGCACAAGUCGCACUCCGGAGUCCGCCUUCCACCAUUUUGAUUUUGAACAUCAGCAACUCCACCUUGAUCGACUGCGUCAUCGGAAAUGACACCUAUCCAUCUGCAGUGGCAGAAAGUCAGCCUCUAAUGCAUGAAUCAGAGCUCCACAUGCACGAUCAGGCAAGGUGCGGGUGUAGCUGUGGGGCGGCACAGACCUCUCCUCCUCCUCCUGCUCCUCUUCCAGCACCAGCAGAGCCUCCGAGGAUCAGCAUCCACAGCUCCCAUCUCAACUGUGUCAUCAUCGGCAACAACAACUACAUGCAGGCCGAGCAGUCCGACUAUACUGAAACAAAUGAACCGCAAGUGAAAGAGAAGUUGCUGUAG
rnacentral:lncRNA from 15 species